UGCCUGGAGGUCCAGUGUUAAGACUCUGCACUUCCAAUGCAGAGGGUGUGGGUUCGAGCCCUGGUCAGGGAA
rnacentral:tRNA from 1 species